rnacentral:rRNA from 1 species
GACAUAGGUCGCAAACGUUAUCCGGAAUUAUUGGGCGUAAAGGAUGCGUAGAUGGUUCAAUAAGUUACUGGUGGGAAAUCGAGGCUCAACCUCGUGGAAGUCAGUAAUACUGUUGAACUUGAGUGCAGGAGAGGUUAACGGAACUUUAUGUGGAGCGGUAAAAUGCGUAGAUAUAUGAAAGAACAUCAAUAUGGCGAAGGCAGUUAACGUAUU